GAAGCAUGUCCUAAAGACCAGACAUUGCCCUCAUUCAAAUGUAUUAGUUAACUUUAAUAUUCAGAGAAUUGUGCUGUUCAAUGAAUAAGGAGCAAAAUUCAAAUAAGACUUCACUCCUGUUUAAGGCACAAGCAGAUUGGAUCUGACCUAUGAUUUAACUGGCAUCAGGAAUUUUCAAGGGGAACUUCCAGCAUAUACACAAAGUGCGUGUAACCCAGACCUCCGUGCCAAAUAAUUGGAUUUUUGAGUGUGAAGGCCACUUCCAUGGGGAACAGUUCAACAUGGUUAAACUUUUGGGUCCAAACACAGAAGUGGACCCUAAAGCUAUGGAAGACUAUCAGGAGAUAGCAAAAGAGAGAAGCUAUGAUGAAAGUAAAAUCAUUUUCCCUAAGCAAGAAGACGCCUGUGUCCCAGAACAUGAUUAAGG